CCUCUCCCUGUGCCCAGCAGCAGACACAGGCUCUGUUUGCCCUCACAGGCAUCUGCAGACCGCAGCUGGCCAUCAGAUGCUGGUGUCCCUCAGACAGAGCCAUCGGACUCCCGCGCUGAUCUGCGGCGCCAGACGUGGGUUUUCA